GGGUACAAAAAUGAGCUGGGCGUGGUGCUGGGCGCCUGUCAUCCUGCCUGCUCAGCAGACCGAAGUAAGAGAAUUGCCUGAACCUGGGAGGCAGAGGUUGCAGUGAGCGGAGAUUAUGCCACUACACUUCAGCCUGGGCAACAGUGAGAAACUGUCUCAAAAUAAACAAAUACAUAUAUACAUAUAUACAUACAUACAUACAUACAUACAUACAUACUCUACUCUUAACCAAUAUUAUAAACGAACAAAAAAAGAGUAUAUUUAAAGAAGUAAUAAAGACAAAGUGUAAACAUUGUGGGAUAAAAGAAACAUCAUCCUGAAGAUAUUAGCAAGUGUACGUAUCUUAAAAAGAUUUAUUAUAAAAAAGAAAAAUAACUGGAAAACUUUUAGCUUCCUGGAGAGAAUACGAGAAGACAUGGCCCCUCUGAAAGAAGAAGAGAAAGAUAAAAAGAGAUAAUAGCUUGGGGUUUAAUGAUAAAUGGAUGAGGUAAAUAAAGAUGCAAGUGUUACAGAUUAUUACAUUGGUGACACAAAUUAAUGACCUCCCUCUAGCCACAACACCCUUUGCGAUGUCAUUUUACAGCCCCUCCCAUGAAGAAAUGGAAUCUAUUUCUCCAAGCUGGAAUUAGAGCUGGCCUGGAGAUGGGUUUGACCAAUGAAAUGCUCGAAUUAGAGCUGGCCUGGGGAUAUAUUUUGACCAAUGAAAUGCUCGAAUUUGAGCUGGACAGGAGAUCCACUUUGACCAAUAAAAUGCUCGAAUUAGAGCUGGCCUGGAGAUACGCUUUGGCCGAUGAAAUGCUCUGAAACGUUAUCACGCCAGUUGUGAAACUAGGCCUCAAGAGGCUGUGCUUUGUUUUACUCUCUCUUUCUGUGCCUUCUGCCGUGAGUGUAAGCUCAGGUAGUCUGCUGAAGAAUGAGGGGCCACAUGAGUAGAAAAUGAGUGGAUCCACUGUGAGGGUAUCCUAGACCCACAAGUCCCCAGUCAACUGGCCAACUAGCAGCAGCUUCAUGAAUGAGCCUAGGCAAGAUCGGCCAGGCCUGGCCCAGAACAGCAAAACUGCCCUGGCUGACCCAUGGACACAGGAAAAAUAAAUAAACAAUUGUAGUUUUAUGCUAUAUAUUUUGGAGCUGUGUAUUACUCAGCAAAAGCUAUGGUAACGAAACACGUAGCUAGAAAGAUAAAAGAUGAAAUGCACUAGAAAUAUCAGUUAUUUCCUCCAUCAAUUAUAUUUUUUUCCUACUCUAUGUUACCUUUAGAAAAGUAUCUGCCCAAAGUUCUUCAUCUGACCAUCUGCCUUCCCACUGAAGGGGCAUCAGGUCAUGUGGCCCUAUUCCCCCAAAACCACAGCUAUGGGGACCAAGAGUAGAAAUCUGGCUCAAGUUGGACGCAUCAGAAUCUCAUUUAUGAGAAUUUAAAAUUAGCUUCCAAAGGCUCUGAUCAGCAUUUAAAACGAGGGAAGGCUCUUAUGAGGAGAUAAAUAAAACCAAUGUACAAAAUGAAGCAGAGAAGAGAGUAUAUAAGGCCUCAGAGACAGAAACAGAGAAAAUGGACUGUGCUACAGGUUACUUCCUGGGAGCCCACAAGAUACCUGUGUCCAUAUUGUUUUCUUUUUCCCAUUGUAGAAUAUGUUUCCAUUUUGCAUGCCUCAGAGGGUCACCUGCUCAUUCUUCAAGACAAGACAACUCAAUAGGAUAGAAUGACCAUGUUUUCAUUUACUGAAACCAAAUUUAGCAAAGAUAUAGAAAUACUAUAAUAUACAAAGGAUUUUUGGCUUUUCUAACUUCUACUAUUGUAUCUCCUUUAUAUAGUUACUUUCUUUUUAGGAAGGGCAAGAAGAAAAGGUAGAUUUUCAUGAGAAAAUUUCAAAAGUAGAUCUUUCCUCUUCAAUUUUUUAAAAUGUCAAAUGUUUACACAUGAAGAGUAAAAUGGAGAACGGACACACUUCUCUAGAAACAUCAGGCUUCCAGUAUUAAUUAGGAAAUAAUGUGGUUUCUGCUGUGAAGAUCCUAACUCUGUUUCUUCCAGGGUGCUGGACUGUUCUUCCCAUCAGAUAAAGAUGUGCACAGCAGGAACCACUAGAUGGAGGUGGAGAUGAAAAUGAAAUUCACGUUAUUUCCCGAAGCUGCCAGUGCUGGUCCCACAAGUAGCAACCCAGAUCCUGAAGGCAUCCUUCCUGGAAGUUUUACUAAAAGAUGAUCCAAACACCUAACUAUACUGAUUUAAAACAGCACCACCAAUAACAACAACAAACCUAAGGCCCAGAGGCACAGUGUUUGGACCAGCCCAGGAGCCCUCACUCACAAGCACUUCUAUCGGACUUAGCUGAUCCCUCAGAAGACCCCGGACACCACAAAGGGUCAUCAGCACAAUCUUGAUGGAUGUCUAAGAAGUAAAGAUUGAUUUUUGCCUAAUGACAAUAAAGUCAUCCCUAAGUUAAAUAUCUGUACAUUAAAUAUAUAUUAAAUAUGUAUUAAAUACAUAAUAUAUUAAAUAUUAAAUUAAAUAUUAAAAUGCAUGUAUAUUCUGAGCUUUACUGUGUUUUUCAUGAAGACACUGUUAAAGACUAGAGCCCGAUAUGUUAAAAAAAUGAGUGAGUAAUCUUAUUAUAAGAAUCAUAAUAUGGUCCCUUUUCUUCAUCCUGCUAUAUAUAACAGUCUGUUACACAACCUCCAUUAUUCUCCUAAUGAAGCCUCUUCACAUCAUCACUUUGAGAACCAUUAUCCUCACUUAGCAAUUUUUUUUUUUCUUUGAGAUGCAGUCUGUCACCCAGGCUGGAAUGCAGUGGUGCGAUCACGGCUCACUGCAAUC